UUGUAUAAUUAAGGCCUCCUACUUUUGAUGGUGCGGCCUUGAACAACAAUGCAUAUAGGAAAAGCCCUUCAAAAGGGCAGCGGCCAGACAACCGUAGAGAUGGAUCCACAGGUAAAUGGUUGUAAAUACCACUUGUCUACUGAUUCCAUCUCAUAUUC
rnacentral:snoRNA from 1 species